CCUACGGGGUGCAGCAGUGAGGAAUAUUGGUCAAUGGGAGAGAUCCUGAACCAGCCAAGCCGCGUGAGGGAAGACGGCCCUAUGGGUUGUAAACCUCUUUUGUCGGAGAACAAAACCCGGGACGUGUCCCGGACUGCGUGUAUCCGAAGAAAAAGCAUCGGCUAACUCCGUGCCAGCAGCCGCGGUAAUACGGAGGAUGCGAGCGUUAUCCGGUUUUAUUGGGUUAAAAGGGUGAGUAGGCGGUCCGUUAAGUCAGCGGAAAAAUUGCGGGGCUCAACCCCGUCGAGCCGUUGAAACUGGCAGGCUUGAGUUGGCGAGAGGUACGCGGAAUGCGCGGUGUAGCGGUGAAAUGCAUAGAUAUCGCGCAGAACUCCGAUUGCGAAGGCAGCGUACCGGCGCCAGACUGACGCUGAGGCACGAAAGCGUGGGGAUCGAACAGGAUUAGAUACCCCAGUAGUC
rnacentral:rRNA from 1 species